UACGUAGGGUCCGAGCGUUAAUCGGAAUUACUGGGCGUAAAGCGUGCGCAGGCGGUUCGCCAAGUCAGGUGUGAAAUCCCCGGGCUUAACCUGGGAAUUGCGCUUGAAACUAGCGGGCUUGAGUGUGGGCAGAGGGGGGGUGGGAAUUCCACGUGUAGCAGUGAAAUGCGUAGAGAUGUGGAGGAACACCGAUGGCGAAGGCAGCCCCCCUGGGUCAACACUGACGCUCAUGCACGAAAGCGUGGGGAGCAAACAGG
rnacentral:rRNA from 1 species